rnacentral:rRNA from 1 species
AUUGAACGCUGGCGGUAUGCCUUACACAUGCAAGUCGAACGGUAGAGGGGCAACCCUUGAGAGUGGCGAACGGGUGAGUAAUACAUCGGAACGUGCCCAGUCGUGGGGGAUAACGUAGCGAAAGCUACGCUAAUACCGCAUACGACCUGAGGGUGAAAGCGGGGGAUCGCAAGACCUCGCGCGAUUGGAGCGGCCGAUGGCAGAUUAGGUAGUUGGUGGGGUAAAGGCCUACCAAGCCUGCGAUCUGUAGCUGGUCUGAGAGGACGACCAGCCACACUGGGACUGAGACACGGCCCAGACUCCUACGGGAGGCAGCAGUGGGGAAUUUUGGACAAUGGGCGAAAGCCUGAUCCAGCCAUACCGCGUGCGGGAAGAAGGCCUUCGGGUUGUAAACCGCUUUUGUCAGGGAAGAAAUCUUCUGGGCUAAUACCUCGGGAGGAUGACGGUACCUGAAGAAUAAGCACCGGCUAACUACGUGCCAGCCGCCGCCGUAACAC